AGUGAACGCUGGCGGUAGGCCUAACACAUGCAAGUCGAACGGCAGCACAGGAGAGCUUGCUCUCUGGGUGGCGAGUGGCGGACGGGUGAGGAAUACAUCGGAAUCUACUCUGUCGUGGGGGAUAACGUAGGGAAACUUACGCUAAUACCGCAUACGACCUACGGGUGAAAGCCGGGGACCUUCGGGCCUUUCGCGAUCGAAUGAGCCGAUGUCGGCUUAGCUAGUUGGCGGGGUAAAGGCCCACCAAGGCGACGAUCCGUAGCUGGUCUGAGAGGAUGAUCAGCCACACUGGAACUGAGGCACGGUCCAGACUCCUACGGGAGGCAGCAGUGGGGAAUAUUGGACAAUGGGCGCAAGCCUGAUCCAGCCAUACCGCGUGGGUGAAGAAGGCCUUCGGGUUGUAAAGCCCUUUUGUUGGGAAAGAAAUCCAGCUGGCUAAUACCCGGUUGGGAUGACGGUACCCAAAGAAUAAGCACCGGCUAACUUCGUGCCAGCCGCCGCAGUAA
rnacentral:rRNA from 1 species